CCUACGGGGUGCAGCAGUGAGGAAUAUUGGUCAAUGGGCGAGAGCCUGCACCAGCCAAGUCGCGUGAAGGAUGACGGCCCUACGGGUUGUAAACUUAUUUUGUCAGGGAGCAAUUGAGUCCACGUGUGGUCUUAGCGAGCGUACCUGCAGAACAAGCAUCGGCUAACUCCGUGCCAGCAGCCGCGGAAAUACGGAGGAUGCGAGCGUUAUCCGGAUUUAUUGGGUUUAAAGGGUGCGUAGGCGGAAUAUCAAGUCAGCGGUAAAAAUUCGGGGCUCAACCCCGUCGUGACGUUGAAACUGAUGUUCUUGAGUGGGCGAGAAGUAUGCGGAAUGCGUGGUGUAGCGGUGAAAUGCAUAGAUAUCACGCAGAACUCCGAUUGCGAAGGCAGCAUACCGGCGCCCAACUGACGCUGAAGCACGAAAGCGUGGGUAUCGAACAGGAUUAGAUACCCUAGUAGUA
rnacentral:rRNA from 1 species